rnacentral:tRNA from 1 species
UCCCUGGUGGCUCAGAGGUUAAAGCGUCUGCCUCCAAUGUGGGAGGCCUGGGUUCGAUCCCUGGGUUGGGAA